ACGUAGGGGGCGAGCGUUGUCCGGAAUCAUUGGGCGUAAAGAGCUCGUAGGCGGUUCAGUAAGUCGGGUGUGAAAGCUCCGAGCUCAACUCGGAGAGGCCACUCGAUACUGCUGUGACUAGAAUCCAGUAGGGGAGUGUGGAACUCCUGGUGUAGCGGUGAAAUGCGCAGAUAUCAGGAAGAACACCAGCGGCGAAGGCGGCACUCUGGGCUGGUAUUGACGCUGAGGAGCGAAAGUGUGGGUAGCAAACAG
rnacentral:rRNA from 1 species